rnacentral:rRNA from 1 species
AACGAACGCUGGCGGCAUGCCUAACACAUGCAAGUCGAACGAAACCUUCGGGUCUUGUGUCGCACGGGUUCGUAACGCGUGGGAACCUGCCCUUAGGUUCGGAAUAACUCCCCGACAGGGGUGCUAAUACCGGAUAAUGUCUUCGGACCAAAGAUUUAUCGCCUUUGGAUGGGCCCGCGUUGGAUUAGCUUGUUGUUAGGGUAAAAGCCUACUAAGGCGACGAUCCAUAAAUGGUCAGAGAGGAUGCUCAGCCACACUGGGACUGAGACACGGCCCAGACUCCUACGCGAGGCAGCAGUGGGGAAUAUUGGACAAUGGGCGGAGGCCUGAUCCAGCAAUGCCGCGUGAGUGAUGAAGGCCUUAGGGUUGUAAAGCUCUUUUACCCGGGAUGAUAAUGACAGUACCGGGAGAAUAAGCUCCGGCUAACUCCGUG